rnacentral:lncRNA from 1 species
ACAGAAAGGCAUAGGACCCUUCUUGGGGCUCAAUCUCUAUCAUUGUUGAAGGAUCUUGGUGUUACGCAUUUUGGUGAAACUUUUUUUUUGAAAAAAAUUAGCAGAAAACAUAUAUUUUUUUGGAACCAGAAGACUGUCUUAAACAUGCACAGAGCAGCCACUUGAACAGAAUCUUUCCUAUACAUGUACUAUGUAGGAAUCUAUAGUACAACAUUCAACUAUCAAAUCAACCACAACAGUAAUAACAACAACAAC